AUACAGAGGGUGCAAGCGUUAAUCGGAAUUACUGGGCGUAAAGCGCGCGUAGGCGGUUACGUAAGUCGGGUGUGAAAGCCCCGGGCUCAACCGUGGAAGUGCAUUCGAAACCGCAGAACUAGAGUAUCGGAGAGGAAAGUGGAAUGCUUGGUGUAGAGGUGAAAUUCGUAGAUAUCAAGCGGAACACCGGUGGCGAAGGCGGCUUUCUGGACGAUUACUGACGCUGAGACGCGAAAGCGUGGGUAGCAAACAGGAUUAGAAACCCCAGUAGUCC
rnacentral:rRNA from 1 species